rfam:Niastella vici strain DJ57 contig91, whole genome shotgun sequence.
AAGAGUAUAUAGAGAUAUAUACUUGUUUAACAGAAGUCAGCCGAGGCCGUAGUACCUAAAGAACAAGGGAAGGGC